rnacentral:rRNA from 1 species
AUUGAACGCUGGCGGCAUGCCUUACACAUGCAAGUCGAACGGCAGCACGGGUGCUUGCACCUGGUGGCGAGUGGCGAACGGGUGAGUAAUAUAUCGGAACGUACCUUAUCGUGGGGGAUAACGCAGCGAAAGCUGCGCUAAUACCGCAUACGCCCUGAGGGGGGAAAGCGGGGGACCGUAAGGCCUCGCGCGAUUAGAGCGGCCGAUAUCUGAUUAGCUUGUUGGUGGGGUAAAAGCCCACCAAGGCGACGAUCAGUAGCUGGUCUGAGAGGACGAUCAGCCACACUGGGACUGAGACACGGUCCAGACUCCUACGGGAGGCAGCAGUGGGGAAUUUUCCGCAAUGGGCGAAAGCCUGACCCAGCGACGCCGCGUGAGGGAUGAAGGCCUC